rnacentral:rRNA from 1 species
GACGAACGCUGGCGGCGUGCCUAAUACAUGCAAGUCGAACGCACUCUCGUUUAGAUUGAAGGAGCUUGCUCCUGAUUGAUAAACAUUUGAGUGAGUGGCGGACGGGUGAGUAACACGUGGGUAACCUGCCCUAAAGUGGGGGAUAACAUUUGGAAACAGAUGCUAAUACCGCAUAAAACCUAACACCGCAUGGUGUAGGGUUGAAAGAUGGUUUCGGCUAUCACUUUAGGAUGGACCCGCGGUGCAUUAGUUAGUUGGUGAGGUAAAGGCUCACCAAGACCGUGAUGCAUAGCCGACCUGAGAGGGUAAUCGGCCACACUGGGACUGAGACACGGCCCAGACUCCUACGGGAGGCAGCAGUAGGGAAUCUUCCACAAUGGACGAAAGUCUGAU